rnacentral:lncRNA from 1 species
CCCAGGCUGGAGUGUGGUGGCAAGAUCAGAGCUCACUGCAGCCUCCAACUUUCUGGCUCAAGUGAUCCUCCCACCUCAGCACCCCAAGCAGCUGGGACCACAGGUGUGGACUAACACACCUGGCUGUUUUUUUUUAUUUUUAGUAGAGAUGAGGUCUUACUAUGUUGCCUAGGCUGAUUUCGAAUUCCUGGGCUUAAGCGAUCCUCCCUCCUUGGCCUCUCAAAGUGCUGGGAUUACAGGCAUGGUGGCGGGCGCCUGUAGUCCCAGCUACUCGGGAGGCUGAGGCAGGAGAAUGGCAUGAACCCGGGAGGCGGAGCUUGCAAUGAGCCGAGAUCGCGCCACUGCCCUCCAGCCUGGGCGACAGAGCAAGUCUCUAAAAUGGACAGGAGGCAUCCCUGUGAUAUUAGGGGUAAUAUCACGGCACAUCAGAAACUAUCCACCAAUUAGUACCCGGAGAAUCUAGUCCUGCAGGGCAAGAGGAUGACAGCAGACGACACCUGGGGUCCAGCUGAGGAGAAAGCCAGGACCCGCCCCCUCGAGACCCUGCCCUUCAAAACACCACUUCCAGACCUUGCCCUCAAGAUGACGAUCACCCUCUGGCCCGGCCUCCAGGCAGCCUCCUCAUUCUUGCCCCGCCCAGAUUC